rnacentral:rRNA from 1 species
UACGUAGGGUGCAAGCGUUGUCCGGAAUUAUUGGGCGUAAAGAGCUCGUAGGCGGCUUGUCGCGUCUGCUGUGAAAACCCGAGGCUCAACCUCGGGCCUGCAGUGGGUACGGGCAGACUAGAGUGCGGUAGGGGAGAUUGGAAUUCCUGGUGUAGCGGUGGAAUGCGCAGAUAUCAGGAGGAACACCAAUGGCGAAGGCAGAUCUCUGGGCCGUAACUGACGCUGAGGAGCGAAAGCAUGGGGAGCGAACAGG